rnacentral:tRNA from 1 species
AGGGGAGUAGCUCAACUGGUAGAGUAGCGGACUCCAAAUCCGUUGGUUGCGGGUUCGAUUCCUGUCUCCCCUGCCA